AUAAAUUUGGGCGACUGUUUACCAAAAACACAAGUCUCCGCAAAGUCGUAAGACCAUGUAUGGGGGCUGACGCCUACCCAGUGCCGGAAGGUCAAGGAAGUUGGUGACCUGAUGACAGGGGAGCCGGCGAUCGAAGCCAGAAAUAUUGUCAAAUAUCCCAUGUCUAACUUUGUAUCCUAUAAAGCCUUGUCUUUGACAUUCUCAACCUUUGUUUCGUGUCUCGAUACUGUACAAAUACCCAAAAAUGU
rnacentral:ncRNA from 1 species